CUAGCUAGCCAAUGGGAGCGUAGCAGAACCCCCUCGUAAUAACGGGGCGUAGUUUUGGCUUAACUGCGUUGGGAAAAAGAAAGACGCUAGCUCACCUGCUUGAAGACCUAAAACCCGGAAAUUAGUUACCAUUCAUAUGGCGAAAAUGAAUGAGGAGAGAAUAGGAUUUUGGGAUAAACGCGAAAAUAAGGUCUGAGGUUAAUACAGGUUUAGGAUAUCUUAUACGUUUUGUUCUACGAGAUAAUAUUAGUCAGUUAACGUUACCUUUAUUAAUUAUGAAGCAUUUAUGUGCAUUUUCAAAUGACACAAAUGCUUCCAAAUUCACAAAAAAUAACGUUGGCUGAUGAUUAUCUCCUACAAAAAGACAUUUGGAUAGAAAACAAAAACUGUAUCAAUACAUUAGCUCAACAUUGGAAAAAUUGCCCAUUUAUAUUAGUAAAAAAAACAACAGAAAGAAGCACGAGAGUUUCGCAAGAAUUGUCUGCUUUUAUGUAAUAUUGUUUCAUUGAACACUAUAUCCCAGAAAGCCUUGCGCCAAGGCAAAGCAGGAAGAUAUUUUUUCGUCUGCAACUUCGGGAAUUUAGCCAGAAGGAGUGUGUUGCUCAGGCCCUGGGGAGAGUGGUGUGUGUCAGUGUGUGUUACAGAAACACCAGCAGUGAGUGUAUGUCUGUCUGUAAUCUGCUUCCGCCGGCUGUUUGUGGCAUCGGCUGUGAAGUGAACAGGAAGACAGAGGG